CACUCGACCACGGUGCUACCAU
rnacentral:siRNA from 1 species